rnacentral:rRNA from 1 species
GAUGAACGCUGGCGGCGUGCCUAAUACAUGCAAGUCGAGCGAACAGACGAGGAGCUUGCUCCUCUGACGUUAGCGGCGGACGGGUGAGUAACACGUGGAUAACCUACCUAUAAGACUGGGAUAACUUCGGGAAACCGGAGCUAAUACCGGAUAAUAUAUUGAACCGCAUGGUUCAAUAGUGAAAGACGGUUUUGCUGUCACUUAUAGAUGGAUCCGCGCCGCAUUAGCUAGUUGGUAAGGUAACGGCUUACCAAGGCGACGAUGCGUAGCCGACCUGAGAGGGUGAUCGGCCACACUGAAACUGAGACACGGUCCAGACUCCUACGGGAGGCAGCAGUAGGGAAUCUUCCGCAAUGGGCGAAAGCCUGACGGAGCAACGCCGCGUGAGUGAUGAAGGUCUUCGGAUCGUAAAACUCUGUUAUUAGGGAAGAACAAAUGUGUAAGUAACUAUGCACGUCUUGACGGUACCUAAGCAGAAAGCCACGGCUAACUACGG